rnacentral:rRNA from 1 species
UACGGAGGGGGCUAGCGUUGUUCGGAAUUAUUGGGCGUAAAGGGUGCGUAGGCGGUUUGGUAAGUCUUGUGUGAAAUCUACAGGCUCAACUUGUAGUCUGCACGAGAAACUGCCGGGCUUGAGUAUGGGAGAGGUGAGUGGAAUUCCUGGUGUAGCGGUGAAAUGCGUAGAUAUCAGGAGGAACACCUGUGGCGAAAGCGGCUCACUGGACCAUAACUGACGCUGAUGCACGAAAGCUAGGGGAGCAAACAGG